rnacentral:rRNA from 1 species
UCCAGACUCCUACGGGAGGCAGCAGUGGGGAAUAUUGGACAAUGGGGGGAACCCUGAUCCAGCGACGCCGCGUGAGUGAAGAAGUAUUUCGGUAUGUAAAGCUCUAUCAGCAGGGAAGAAAAUGACGGUACCUGACUAAGAAGCCCCGGCUAACUACGUGCCAGCAGCCGCGGUAAUACGUAGGGGGCAAGCGUUAUCCGGAUUUACUGGGUGUAAAGGGAGCGCAGACGGCGAAGCAAGUCUGAAGUGAAAUACAUGGGCUCAACCCAUGAAUUGCUUUGGAAACUGUUUGGCUUGAGUGUCGGAGGGGUAAGCGGAAUUCCUAGUGUAGCGGUGAAAUGCGUAGAUAUUAGGAGGAACACCGGAGGCGAAGGCGGCUUACUGGACGACAACUGACGUUGAGGCUCGAAGGCGUGGGGAGCAAACAGGAUUAGAUACCCUGGUAGUCCACGCAGUAAACGAUGAAUACUUGGUGUCGGGGAGGUAAACUUUUCGGUGCCGCAAGCAAACGCAUUAAGUAUUCCACCUGGGGAGUACGUUCGCAAGAAUGAAACUCAAAGGAAUUGACGGGGGCCCGCACAAG